CUUAUAUCAAACAGUGACUUAAAGGAGUUAACAGCGUUACUUAUAUUGACAAAAAAAAAACCAUUACUUGUGACAAAAAGAAACAGCAACAAUGCUUCAUUAACUAGAGUAUUGUUCAUCUUCUUUACCUUCACCAUCACACAGUAACAGUGCUUCCCUCAAUACUUCCCUCUUCCAUCCAACAAGCCAUGUAAACGAAGCAGCAAGAUCAUUGAGAGCUUAUAUCUGAAUGGUACCUCAUAUUGUGAAGACUUUGUGUUGUGUAACACAAAUAAAUUUGUAUAUUUGGAGAUAGGAGAAGGCUUAUCUUUUUCUAUUUUUCUUUCAAGUUUUGGAGAUGGGAGAAGGUUGAAGCUAUGGUGUGUUAGUCAUUGUAUUUCAUCAUCUCUCUCAUUCCAAUCAGCCAAGGUAAGGGUAGAGUCUAGGUUUCUUGAUGAAAAUUUCAUGAAAGCAUGAUUAAGGGUUGAAUCUUUAUGAUGAUGAAUGAUGUGUGAGAAUGCAUGAGAGGUUUAGGGCUUGAUUAUCUGCCAUAUGCUCGUGAUGCCUGCUGUUUAAGAUGAUGAGAUGAUGGAUGCUAUGCCUCUUUGCAAAUCACUAUUAUAGAUGUCACCCUUGCUAUGAUUUUUGCUUAGAUCUGAUUCAUGAUGAUUCAUAUGCCUAAGAUUGAUUAAAUUCUUAAUGAUUAUGAUGAGAUGUUGCUACUGGAAUUUAGAGGAGGAAUAUGUGCUGUAUGUUUGCUGGAACAUGGCCUAGAAACCUUGGACUCAAAUGGUUAGAAAUUAAUUUGAAGGUAAAAGUAUCAUUGCCAGUUUUCUGUACUGGACAGCGAGCUUCAGAGCCUAAUAUCACCUAAUUCUGGGUCUCAGAUGAAAAAGUGAUAAACUAUAAAGUUGUAGAUUUUCAAAAUAUCUUUCCAGGCAUGUAUAGUAUGUCAACUGCGGCUGAGAAAUGAAUUCUGGAGACCAGUUUUAAUGCACACUGUUCCUGCUGCCUAAAUGCUAGGGUUCGAGUAGAAGAGAGACUUGGACAGCAAGGAACAGAUUAUCCAAGCUUCAUUCUUCCCUUCUUUUCAGAUCAAGGAAUCAAGAUGGUGACCACCACGAUAAUGGAGACUAUCGUGAGAUGGGAGAUCGUUCUGAGUAGGCCAGCAGAAGACCGGCUCUGGGGGACCGACAGUUCCGGAGUCCGGAGAGUCUACGUCGGCGAUGCGGAGCUCUUAGGGAGGAACAGAUCUGGGACGGUUGUGGAGAGGCAGAUCCUUAGGGAUGGGACUGUUGUGCUGCCACAUCCUCCCGCUAGGUUUCAUCAGACUACAGUGGGCGAGGAGGAAGAAGAUCCUUCGGAGGACACUACAGUGGAGUCACGGUUGGUCGAGGAGGAGGAGGCAGUGGAGUCUUCACCACCAGAGACCAAGUCGGGAGUCUGUGCGCAGCGUGUACCUGGGCGUCCAAAGUGCUUUAGAGUGGGACCUCGGAAGAGCGUGAUAAAGCUGGAGCAGUCUAAGAAGAGAGCGCGUGGAGCGGGAGCUGACGUUCCGGAGCGGGAUCAGGAUUAGAGUGUUCCUUUUUGUGGGGCUGAGAAUUCGUGUCGAACUACUAUUUAUCAUUUUUAUUUUCGGGGUUUUCUUUUGAUGUACUUGAUGUAGGGCUUUAGCCUAAGGUUUCAUUUAUGUACUUUGGAAUUACAGUUUCUUUUAAUUACGAGUAUUUUAUUCAGAAAUGCAUGUCUUAUU